AAGUCGUAACAAGGUUUUCGUAGGUGAACCUGCGGAAGGAUCAUUAGUGAAUUUGUUAGAGUGCUCGAAAGAGGCUCGUCAAACACUUAUCCCACACACUUUGUGCAUUAGAACCCUUUUAUUCAUAUUCAUUGUUGGCCGAUUACCAGCUUAAACACUGCGAAAGAAAGACUCUGAACUUGAAUAAAUCUUUACCAAACCCUUUGCUUUAAUUAGAGAUGAUGAUGUAUAAAACCUUGAAAUAAAAGAAAGUACAA
rnacentral:misc_RNA from 1 species